rnacentral:rRNA from 1 species
GUGCCAGCAGCCGCGGUAAUACAGAGGGUGCGAGCGUUAAUCGGAUUUACUGGGCGUAAAGGGCGCGUAGGCGGUUUUAUGAGUGUGAUGUGAAAGCCCCGGGCUUAACCUGGGAAGUGCAUCGCAAACGAUAGAACUGGAGUAGAUGAGAGGGUGGCGGAAUUUCCGGUGUAGCGGUGAAAUGCGUAGAGAUCGGAAGGAACGUCAAUGGCGAAGGCAGCCACCUGGCAUCAUACUGACGCUGAGGCGCGAAAGCGUGGGUAGCGAACAGGAUUAGAAACCCUGGUAGUCC